rnacentral:rRNA from 1 species
AGGGCAACCCUGGUGGCGAGUGGCGAACGGGUGAGUAAUACAUCGGAACGUGUCCUGUAGUGGGGGAUAGCCCGGCGAAAGCCGGAUUAAUACCGCAUACGCUCUGCGGAGGAAAGCGGGGGCUCCUUCGGGACCUCGCGCUACAGGGGCGGCCGAUGGCAGAUUAGCUAGUUGGUGGGGUAAAGGCCUACCAAGGCGACGAUCUGUAGCUGGUCUGAGAGGACGACCAGCCACACUGGGACUGAGACACGGCCCAGACUCCUACGGGAGGCAGCAGUGGGGAAUUUUGGACAAUGGGCGCAAGCCUGAUCCAGCAAUGCCGCGUGUGUGAAGAAGGCCUUCGGGUUGUAAAGCACUUUUGUCCGGAAAGAAAACCUCAGCCCUAAUACGGCGGGGGGAUGACGGUACCGGAAGAAUAAGCACCGGCUAACUACGUGCCAGCAGCCGCGGUAAUACGUAGGGUGCAAGCGUUAAUCGGAAUUACUGGGCGUAAAGCGUGCGCAGGCGGUCCGCUAAGACAGAUGUGAAAUCCCCGGGCUUAACCUGGGAACUGCAUUUGUGACUGGCGGGCUAGAGUAUGGCAGAGGGGGGUAGAAUUCCACGUGUAGCAGUGAAAUGCGUAGAGAUGUGGAGGAAUACCGAUGGCGAAGGCAGCCCCCUGGGCCAAUACUGACGCUCAUGCACGAAAGCGUGGGGAGCAAACAGGAUUAGAUACCCUGGUAGUCCACGCCCUAAACGAUGUCAACUAGUUGUCGGGCCUUCAUUGGCUUGGUAACGUAGCUAACGCGUGAAGUUGACCGCCUGGGGAGUACGGUCGCAAGAUUAAAACUCAAAGGAAUUGACGGGGACCCGCACAAGCGGUGGAUGAUGUGGAUUAAUUCGAUGCAACGCGAAAAACCUUACCUACCCUUGACAUGUACGGAAUCCUGCUGAAAGGUGGGAGUGCCCGAAAGGGAGCCGUAACACAGGUGCUGCAUGGCUG